rnacentral:sRNA from 1 species
UAUGGAUGCGGGUAAUUACAUUACACCGAGUAAAACCCUUAAGUGAUAGAAAUAUUAAGCGUACUGCAAGUACGUCACUGGGGUUUGGGCCCCACUUAGGUGGGACUUUUAAAGUUAA